rnacentral:rRNA from 1 species
UGAGCCUACGGGAGGCAGCAGUGAGGAAUAUUGGUCAAUGGGCGGUAGCCUGAACCAGCCAAGUAGCGUGAAGGAUGAAGGUUCUAUGGAUUGUAAACUUCUUUUAUAAAGGAAUAAAGUGAGGCACGUGUGCCUUUUUGUAUGUACUUUAUGAAUAAGGAUCGGCUAACUCCGUGCCAGCAGCCGCGGUAAUACGGAGGAUCCGAGCGUUAUCCGGAUUUAUCGGGUUUAAAGGGAGCGUAGGCGGACGGUCAAGUCAGCGGUAAAAAUGCGG